rnacentral:rRNA from 1 species
CUUGGUCAUUUAGAGGAAGUAAAAGUCGUAACAAGGUUUCCGUAGGUGAACCUGCGGAAGGAUCAUUAUUGAAUAAACUUGGUUGGGUUGUUGCUGGCUCCUCGGGGCAUGUGCACGCUCACUCCAUUUUUAAACCACCUGUGCACCUUGUGUAGAUUCUGAACAACUCUCGGGGAAACUCGGUCAGAGGAUUGCUGUGUGUAAAAGCCAGCUUUUCUUGGGUUCAGAUCUAUGUCUCUAUAUACACCAUAAGAAUGUAUUGGAAUGUAAUUGUUAGGCGUUACAGCCUUUAAAAAUCAAAUACAACUUUCAACAACGGAUCUCUUGGCUCUCGCAUCGAUGAAGAACGCAGCGAAAUGCGAUAAGUAAUGUGAAUUGCAGAAUUCAGUGAAUCAUCGAAUCUUUGAACGCACCUUGCGCUCCUUGGUAUUCCGAGGAGCAUGCCUGUUUGAGUGUCGUGAAAUUCUCAACCUCUCUGGUUUUUAUAAGCUAGUUAGGCUUGGAUAUUGGAGGCUGCUGGCUUCUCAGAAAUCAGCUCUUCUUAAAUAUAUUAGCAAAGUCUUUGCUGACCAUCUUUGGUAUGAUAAUUAUCUAUAUCAUUGAGAAUCAGUUUCCGUCUCGGAAGGAUUUUGCUUCUAAUGGUCUAUAUAGACAACUUGACAAUUUGACCUCAAAUCAGGUAGGACUACCCGCUGAACUUAAGCAUAUCAAUAAGCGGAGGAAAAGAAACUAACAAGGAUUCCCCUAGUAACUGCGAGUGAAGCGGGAAAAGCUCAAAUUUAAAAUCUGGUAGUCUUUGGCUGCCCGAGUUGUAAUCUAGAGAAGCGUUAUCCGCGUUGGACCGUGUAUAAGUCUCCUGGAAUGGAGCGUCAUAGAGGGUGAGAAUCCCGUCUUUGACACGGACUACCAGGGCUUUGUGAUGCGCUCUCAAAGAGUCGAGUUGUUUGGGAAUGCAGCUCUAAAUGGGUGGUAAAUUCCAUCUAAAGCUAAAUAUUGGCGAGAGACCGAUAGCGAACAAGUACCGUGAGGGAAAGAUGAAAAGAACUUUGGAAAGAGAGUUAAACAGUACGUGAAAUUGUUGAAAGGGAAACGCUUGAAGU